rnacentral:tRNA from 1 species
CGGGGUAUAGCUCAGUCUGGUAGAGCGCUUGAAUGGGGUUCAAGAGGUCGCACGUUCGAAUCGUGUUACCCCGACCA